UUUAAGGUCUAACCUGCCCAAUGAGGAUUUAAAUGGCCGCAGUAUUUUGACUGUGCAAAGGUAGCAUAAUUAUUAGUUUUUUAAUUGAAAGCUUGUAUGAAGGGUUGGACGAGAUAAAAUCUGUCUUUAUUUAAAUUAAAGUAUAAUUUAACUUUUAAGUCAAAAGGCUUAAAUGUUUAUAAAAGACGAGAAGACCCUAUAGAUCUUUAUUUAGUUAGGAUUUUAAUAAUUUAGGAUUAUUUUAAUUUGGAGUCUUAAUUGAAUUUUAUUGGGGUAAUAUAAAGAUUAAAUAAAUUCUUUUUAUUUAUGACAUUAAUUUAUGAAUAUAUGAUCCAUUAAUAUUGAUUAUAAGAUUAAGUUACCUUAGGGAUAACAGCGUAAUUUUUUUGGAGAGCUCAUAUCGAUAAGAAAGUUUGCGACCUCGAUGUUGGAUUAAAAAUUAGCUUGGGUGCAGAAGCUCAAGAUUUUGGUCUGUUCGACCAUUAAAUUUUUACAUGAUCUGAGUUCAGACCGGCGUAAGCCAGGUCGGUUUCUAUCUUUAUUCAGAUAAAAUAUUUUAGUACGAAAGGACCAAGUAUUUAAUAUAAUUAUAUUUAUUUUUUGAAGAAUAUU
rnacentral:rRNA from 1 species